GGGUUGUGAGGUUAAGUGACUAAGCGUACACGGUGGAUGCCUAGGCAGUCAGAGGCGAUGAAGGGCGUGCUAAUCUGCGAAAAGCGUCGGUAAGGUGAUAUGAACCGUUACAACCGGCGAUACCCGAAUGGGGAAACCCAGUGUGUUUCGACACACUAUCAUGUCAUGAAUACAUAGUGGCAUGAGGCGAACCGGGGGAACUGAAACAUCUAAGUACCCCGAGGAAAAGAAAUCAACCGAGAUUCCCCCAGUAGCGGCGAGCGAACGGGGAGGAGCCCAGAACCUGAAUCGGCUUGUGUGUUAGUGGAAGCGUCUGGAAAGUCGCGCAGCAAAGGGUGAUAGCCCCGUACACUAAAAUGCACAGGUCGUGAGUUCGAUGAGUAGGGCGGGACACGUGACAUCCUGUCUGAAUAUGGGGGGACCAUCCUCCAAGGCUAAAUACUCCUGACUGACCGAUAGUGAACCAGUACCGUGAGGGAAAGGCGAAAAGAACCCCGGCGAGGGGAGUGAAAUAGAACCUGAAACCGUGUACGUACAAGCAGUGGGAGCACCUUCGUGGUGUGACUGCGUACCUUUUGUAUAAUGGGUCAGCGACUUAUAUUUUGUAGCAAGGUUAACCGUAUAGGGGAGCCGUAGGGAAACCGAGUCUUAACUGGGCGAAUAGUUGCAAGGUAUAGACCCGAAACCCGGUGAUCUAGCCAUGGGCAGGUUGAAGGUUGGGUAACACUAACUGGAGGACCGAACCGACUAAUGUUGAAAAAUUAGCGGAUGACUUGUGGCUGGGGGUGAAAGGCCAAUCAAACCGGGAGAUAGCUGGUUCUCCCCGAAAGCUAUUUAGGUAGCGCCUCGUGAACUCAUCUUCGGGGGUAGAGCACUGUUUCGGCUAGGGGGCCAUCCCGGCUUACCAAACCGAUGCAAACUCCGAAUACCGAAGAAUGUUAUCACGGGAGACACACGGCGGGUGCUAACGUCCGUCGUGAAGAGGGAAACAACCCAGACCGCCAGCUAAGGUCCCAAAGUCAUGGUUAAGUGGGAAACGAUGUGGGAAGGCAUAGACAGCCAGGAUGUUGGCUUAGAAGCAGCCAUCAUUUAAAGAAAGCGUAAUAGCUCACUGGUCGAGUCGGCCUGCGCGGAAGAUGUAACGGGGCUAAACCAUGCACCGAAGCUGCGGCAGCGACGCUUAGCGUUGUUGGGUAGGGGAGCGUUCUGUAAGCCGUUGAAGGUGGCCUGUGAGGGUUGCUGGAGGUAUCAGAAGUGCGAAUGCUGACAUAAGUAACGAUAAAGCGGGUGAAAAGCCCGCUCGCCGGAAGACCAAGGGUUCCUGUCCAACGUUAAUCGGGGCAGGGUGAGUCGACCCCUAAGGCGAGGCUGAAAAGCGUAGUCGAUGGGAAACAGGUUAAUAUUCCUGUACUUGGUGUUACUGCGAAGGGGGGACGGAGAAGGCUAGGCU
rnacentral:rRNA from 1 species